CGAAGCGAUGGGUGCAUCUGAAAGGAUGCGCGGGAGAUAAAGCAAUGUGCAGAGGCAGAAGCCGUAUCGAGAGGCACGGUGGACACUGCACAAGAGAGAAUGCCGGUAUGAGUAGCGAGAGGCAUGCGAGAAACAUGCCCGUCGAAAGCCCAAGGUGGCCUGGGGAAGGUUCAUCCGCCCAGGGUAAGUCGGGGCCUAAGCCGAGGACGGAAGUCGUAGGCGAUGGACAGCAGGUGUAGAUUCCUGCACUACCGAUGGAAUGAAGCAGUGACACAGAAGGAUAACUCGAGCAGGGUGAUGGUCAACCCUGUGCAAGCAUCAAGGUUGGGUUGUAGUGAAGUACGCAAUCCUAUAAGCUGAGGUGUGAUGCGGACCGAAAUUUCAGUAGGGAAGCGAGUGAGUUCACGCUGGCGAGAAAAGCUGCUAGUACAUCCAAAGGUACCCGUACCGGAAACCGACGCAGGUGGGCGAGGAGAGAAUCCUGAGACGAACGGGAGAACCCUUGUUAAGGAACUCGGCAAAAUGACCCCGUAACUUCGGGAUAAGGGGUGCCUGCGAGAGCAGGCCGCAGAGAAUAGUCACAAGCGACUGUUUAGCAAAAACACAGGUAUCUGCGAAAGCGAGAGCUGACGUAUAGGUGCUGACACCUGCCCGGUGCUGGAAGGUUAAGGGAACAUGUUAGAGCAAUCGAAGCAUCGAACCGAAGCCCCAGUAAACGGCGGCCGUAACUAUAACGGUCCUAAGGUAGCGAAAUUCCUUGUCGGGUAAGUUCCGACCCGCACGAAUGGUGUAACGACUUGUGAGCUGUCUCAACAGGGGGCCCGGUGAAAUUGAAGUAUGGGUGAAGAUGCCCAUUACCCGCGACUGGACGGAAAGACCCCGUAGAGCUUUACUGCAGCCUGAUAUUGAGUUUCGGUAACUGAUGCACAGGAUAGGUGGGAGUCUGAGAGACAUGGGUUUCGGCUCGUGUGGAGACGAUGUUGGGAUACCACUCUUCGGUUACUGAAAUUCUAACAUAGCUCUGUGAAACCAGAGGAUGGACAGUGUCAGGUGGACAGUUUGACUGGGGCGGUCGCCUCCGAAAGAGUAACGGAGGCGCCCAAAGGUACCCUCAGAAUGGAUGGAAACCAUUCGAAGAGCGCAAAGGCAGAAGGGUGCCUGACUGCGAGAGUGACAACUCGAGCAGAGACGAAAGUCGGGCUUAGUGAUCCGGCGGUAUUGAGUGGAAAAGCCGUCGCUUAACGGAUAAAAGCUACCUCGGGGAUAACAGGCUGAUCUCCCCCAAGAGUCCACAUCGACGGGGAGGUUUGGCACCUCGAUGUCGGCUCGUCGCAUCCUGGGGCUGAAGCAGGUCCCAAGGGUUUGGCUGUUCGCCAAUUAAAGCGGCACGCGAGCUGGGUUCAGAACGUCGUGAGACAGUUCGGUCCCUAUCCAUCGUGGGCGUAGGAGUCAUGAGAGGAGCUGUUCCUAGUACGAGAGGACCGGAAUGGACGCACCACUGGUGCAACUGUUGUCGUGCCAACGGCAUAGCAGGGAAGCGAAGUGCGGAAGGGAUAAACGCUGAAGGCAUCUAAGCGUGAAGCCCACCUCAAGAAUAAGACUCCACAUAGACCCCUGGAGGACUACCAGGUAGAUAGGUCAUCGGUGGAAGCGCUGUAAGGCGUGUAGCUUGAUGAUACUAAUCGGUCGAAAGCUUCAUUU
rnacentral:rRNA from 1 species